rnacentral:rRNA from 1 species
UACGUAGGAGGCGAGCGUUGUCCGGAGUUACUGGGCGUAAAGGGUGCGCAGGCGGCUCCGCGCGUGUCUGGUGAAAUCUCCCGGCUCAACUGGGAGGGGGCUAGGCAGACGGCGGAGCUUGAGGCUCGGAGGGGGGCGUGGAAUUCCGGGUGGAGCGGUGAAAUGCAUUGAGAUCGGAAAGAACACCAACGGCGAAAGCACUCUGCUGGGCCGACACUGACACUGAGAGACGAAAGCUAGGGGAGCAAAUGGG